UUGUGAUUCUCAAGAAUGAAAAUGCAUUUUACUGUGACUUAUUUGUUAGUGGGCUGUAAGGUCUCAUCAAAUACAUUGCUCUGCAUUCUACUUGUCUUGCAUUAUCAGAUAAUAUCAUACAUAUCCAUCAGAGCCUUUAUAAACUUUGGGAUUUUAUAGACUACAAUGAAAAUAAUUAUCUUCUCUCUCUUUUUCAGUGUUGAUUGCCGUCUGAUUGUUGUAAGUGAAAAUAGUAGCAGUCAACGGCAUUUCUUAUUUGCCAGAUUUAUCACAACAUGCUUAAUCAAUAAUCACUGGUGAAAGUGAAAACAUUUUAAUGUGUACAGACAUAUCUCACUCAAAUGUGUUCUUCUUUAUCUCUCUUUUGUUUGUGUCUACAGCAGCUACACACACCACAAAGGCUCUUUUAAGAGCCACAUCUUGAGAGCAUCUUUGGCUUUCUGUUCCAGUGAGCUUGUCCAAUGAAAAUGAGCAAGAGGAUGCUUGGGGUGAACACCCAUCUAACUUUCAAGAGAACACAAUCUUUGAACAGAGACCCUCAGGUACCUACCAGGCAAGAACAAAUAGUAAGUCAUUUGUAUUUCUUUUUUGCCUGUUGACAGCAACGUUGCCCAAAAAGUUGCCCUGUGUAUCAUCAGCCUAAGGCUUUAAGCAUGUAGCCAUAUCUUUAGC